UCAGGAAUAUUGCGCAAUGGAGGAAACUCUGACGCAGCGACGCCGCGUGGGUGAUGAAGGCCUUCGGGUCGUAAAGCCCUGUCGGAGGGGAAGAAAAGUUGACUGGCUAAUAUCCAGUUGACCUUUGACGGUACCCUCAAAGGAAGCACCGGCUAACUCCGUGCCAGCAGCCGCGGUAAGACGGAGGGUGCAAGCGUUGUUCGGAUUGACUGGGCGUAAAGGGCGUGUAGGCGGUUGGUCAAGUCAGGUGUGAAAUCCCGGGGCUCAGCCCCGGAAGUGCAUCUGAAACUAGCCAGCUAGAGCGCGAUAGAGGAGGGUGGAAUUCCUGGUGUAGCGGUGAAAUGCGUAGAUAUCAGGAGGAACACCGGCGGCGAAGGCGGCCCUCUGGAUCGUUGCUGACGCUGAGACGCGAAAGCGUGGGGAGCAAACAGGAUUAGAUACCCGCGUAGUCC
rnacentral:rRNA from 1 species